UCGCCAUGCUCACUGUCCUUCAUGAGAUCCGCCAGCAUCUGCAGCCAGGUGGUGUCAUAAAGAAGGAUGAAUUCAAGAUUAUAUAUGUGGCUCCAAUGAAGGCCUUGGCAGCAGAGAUGACUAAUUACUUCAGUAAGCGAUUGGAACCACUAGGCAUCACUGUUAAAGAACUCACCGGAGACAUGCAGCUAAGCAAAGGAGAAAUCCUACGAACACAGCUGAUGUCGCUUGAGGAUCCGUUUCAGACGCCUUCUGGAUGCCUACCAGGGGCCUCGUGUACAAAGGGUACUUGCGCAUGAAAACCUGGCGUAAGUACAAAUCUACACCUGCGUUCAGAUGUGUCAAUAACAAUGUUAAGUAAAAAUGUGCGUAGAUCUACAGUAGCUCACUGGUUGGUGUAAGUACUUUUCUACAGCUAUUGGUCUGUUGGCGACACUAAGGGGUGAAACUGGGAAACUGUUAAUCAUGUGAAAACGAUCAUUACGUACAUUGGAGAAAAAUGAAAAACAAUUGUUACAGCCCUGUGUCUGCAAGAUGAGAGGAUAUAAAAACACAAAACGGUGCAAACUUAUAUUUUAUAACAAUGACUCUAGUCCUGUGCGGAACCUGCAGCUGUUUAUCAUCCUGGCAGGUUAUGCUGCUUUCUGGGUUUUAUCACAGUACCACCUGACUGGCACUGCAACACAUCCAGUUGCUAAUGACAUAUCAGCUGUGGCUUUUUUCUUUGCUUUGCUCGGCUUUUAUCUGCCGAUAGAGGUUAAUAACACAAGAGAACCGCUUUUGCCCAUUUUGUGACUGUUGUUGAUAUUUAAUUAGAAAUAUUGUAAGGGUGCACAGUCAAACUAUUCGGCAAACUGGUUCAAUGAAAUUUCUUUCCUUAUAAUCUAAAAAUGCCAAAGGAAAUAAUGAUAGGAUAUUUGAACAUUGAUGGCUGAUGGAAAAAUUAUCAGCUCAGUAGACACCGAUGAGCACAGGGAAAAGAUUCUCUAGUUGGUAGACGAGUCUGUAUUUCACAGUUUUAGUCUAAAUUAAAGCAAUUUAUUACAAAACAACAGGAAACGCCCGUGACCUGGCUAAUACAAUACAGUAGCUACAGUUUGCCGUUUAUACAGCGACAGCUCCAUUAUGCAUACAGUAUUAUGUCCAUCUCAGAGCACCACUAUAAAUUAUUUCUUACUUUUCAUUGCACAUAAUCAAAUUUUUGUUUUAUAAAGUUUUGUUAAUUACCUAAUAUCUUGUCCACUAUUGGUAACAGUACAUGAUAUAAGAGACUUUGUAAUUCUUCACAUUUUACUCAAGUACAAAAGCUAUGACUGCUUUAAUUCAUUGUAUUUUUAUAUAUCCAUUAAUCAUUUUACUAUUAAUAUUUUUGAAUCUAGCAUAAUUAAUACCUCAAUAUCCUGACAUGUACUGAAUGUAUAUGUCAGGAUGAGAAUAAUGUGUUUGUCUUCUUCACAGCAAAUUCUUAUUUUGGAUGGCAGGAGUUUAGUUUGCCCUAGUUUAUGUGGAUGCUUUGGAAUGCAUACAGUGGACUGUAAAUAAGGUUCUAGAUUGUAGUUUGUACUUAGAGCUGAGGUGAGGUGACCAAUCUAAUGGGGCUUUUUAUAGUGGGUAUAGCAGCUGUUUUAAACUGGAUAUACAGUAGAGGGGUAUAGCAUAAAUAGUAAUGAUCAUGAAACCUUGUACAAGUUACAUCAACACUUUCUACUUUCCCAUAAAAAUGAAUCCUUAUGUUGACAUCUUCAAAUAAAGAGUUACCAUUAUUACAUUAUAAUUUUGAUCAUGAAGCUAUAUGAGCAUCUCUGGUGAAUAAAACUGUCUUUUUCCUUUUUAGCCAGCUUAUUUAAGCCUGUAAACAUGCAGAUAAGCAUAGAAAUUAAAUCAUAUUCAAUUAAUUACAGUAUUUAUUGCCAAACUGUUUUAAUAUUUAUAUAGUUUUAAAAUGUUAUUAGUUAUUUUAAUUUAAACAAUCUUUUAAAGGACUGUAGUUCAGACUGUAGAAAUAAAUGUCUUAAACCUUUACUGACCUCAAAAUAUAAACUACUGCUGAGCACACCUUACUAUGACUUAAAUAUUUUAACAGGAUUACUGCUGCUGACAUUUACAUAAAUUGUACCUCCUCACGAGUUAACAGAUCACUACUGACCCUGCUGUUCUGUCACAAAGAAAAUUUUUGAAUUGAAAGGAAUACAAAAUCUAAACUUCAGAUACUUACGAAUUAAAGUCAAGUUAUAUAUAUAUAUAGAAACGAGGAUUGUCUUUCUUUGACUUUUAUUGAGUGCAUUGACUAAUAUGGUCCUAAGUUCAAAUAUAAACCACACAGUGCAGUUAUAAAAUGCCUAGUCUGUCACCACUCUCCUUUCUGUGUUUCAGUUCAAUCCAGUUUGUGUUUAGCACAAAUUUACAACAUGAUAAAUGAUCUGUAAUACUGACCUUGCAGAAAACUAAAUACAAAACUCAACAAAUUUCACUAUUUCUUGUCAGCAGAACAUUACAUAAUACAGUGGCAGCCGGUAAAAGUGUCUACCUCCACCGUGCUUUGCCCCCGAUUGCGACGCGUCAGCGCCUUGUAUGCCCUGCGUGAAGAGUGUGUUACGUCCUUUUGGUCUGUAGGUGGCGACUGACUCCCACUUUUUGUCCUAAAACAACGUUGUUAACUAUGUCAUAUAGCCUCUUG